rnacentral:sRNA from 1 species
UUAAUUAAAUCUGUGCUUUAAGUUUACUCUGGCCUUUUUCCAGCAGCCUAACUGAAAGCCUAUUUUGUUUUUGAAAGCUGCAUUUUAAGGCCAUCAAAUUUCUUCCUAAUCUGUAUCAAAUUGCCUUUAGGUCCUGGAUCCUUUGUCUUUAUUCCUGUGUAUUGGGCUUAAUUUAGUGAUGUUUAUGUAUGUAGCGGUACAAUUCAAAGGGCUGGGAGCAUCAUGGCCCACAGGAGAGGCCUUUGCUGGCUGUACUGGAGAGAGGUUUUGGGCUCUGCUGGGCAGGGUGUGAAGAGGAGAGCACAAAGCAGGCCUUGGGGUUCCUGCAUACAGAAAAUACAUCACCAUCUCUUGUCUUUUCAGAGCAAAAUCUGGAGCGGCAGGUGUUACAGACACAAUGCAGACGACUGGAGGCCCGGCACUACAGCCUCAGCCUGACGGCAGAGCAGCUCUCCCACAGCGUGGCGGAGUUGAGGAGCCAGAAACAGAAGAUGGUCUCAGAACGGGAACGGCUCCAGGCAGAACUGGACCACUUACGAAAGUGCCUUGCCUUGCCUGC